rnacentral:snRNA from 1 species
AUAUUUACCUGACAAGGGAAAUGUCAUGAUCACAGUGAAGGUUUUCCCAGGGAGAGGCUCCUACAUUGUACUCCAGGUGUGCUGGAUUUCCCCAAAUGUGAGAAACUUGACUGAUCGUUUAUAGUAGCAACAAAAUGCUUUGUUC